rnacentral:lncRNA from 1 species
UGAGGGCGAAAUCUCAGGACCAGGGUUUGGUAAUCUAAGUAAGAUGGUUAAUCUUAAUCUAAUGCAGAAUAAGUUUAGUGGUUCGAUUCCUCCACAGAUGUAUCACCUGCAAUACCUUCAAUAUCUCGACAUGAGCAGCAAUUUGCUUGGUGGAACUUUGACUUCAGAUGUGAGGUUUCUUAGGAACUUGAGAGUGCUGAAGUUGGAUAGCAAUUCUCUUACCGGAAAACUUCCUGAGGAAAUUGGCGACCUGGAAAUGCUGCAGAAACUGUUCAUUCGCAGCAACAGCUUUGUGGGCGAAGUCCCGCUCACCAUUGUCAAUUUGAAAUCUUUACAGACGCUGGACAUGAGGGACAAUAAGUUUACAAUGGGGAUUCCUUCGGAUAUUGGCAGUCUGUCCAACUUGACGCAUUUGGCCUUGAGCAAUAACAAAUUGAAUGGCACAAUUCCAACGUCAAUACAGCACAUGGAAAAGUUGGAACAAUUGGAACUGGAAAACAACUUACUUGAAGGGCUUGUUCCGAUAUGGUUGUUCGAUAUGAAAGGGCUAGUUGAUUUGUUGAUUGGAGGCAAUUUGAUGACUUGGAACAACAGCGUUAAAAGCGUAAAACCGAAGCAAAUGCUUUCUCGACUGUCGUUGAAGUCUUGUGGGCUC